CUAGUUGGAUACAAAAUGGCGGAUUUAGUCCGUUCUUGUCAGCUGCACUGGUAACGUGUAUGUAUUAGUUGAGCAGUGCAGACAUAUCCGCAAUUAUUAAUAUUAUUAUCGUAAAGGGUCUCUAACAACGACUAGAGAGGGUCAAGGGAGAGUGUGGCCAAUAAGCCGGAAGCCGCCAUGUUGAGCACAAUGAGAUUGAAUUAAGAUCGAAAGCGUAUAUAUGUAUUGUAAAUGCGAAAGAAUGCAAAAUGUUAUGUAAAGAAGUAAUAUAAUCGUGUCAGUAACAUUCUACUAAAGAGUAAAUA